UAAAGAGAUAAAUUAAUUUACUCUUUAAAAUUUUAUUUCUAAUGGCAUACCUAUGUAAUUACUUACAAAAAUUAAGGUUACAUUUAAAAUAUACUUCCCAAAUAAUAUAGUAGGAUAUUUUUAAUACGAAAUUUUAACUGUAUGAUUACUAAAAACAAGCAAAAGGUAAAUCGCUUUGCUAGGAGCCUAGGACCAU
rnacentral:sRNA from 1 species